rnacentral:rRNA from 1 species
UGGGGAAUAUUGCACAAUGGGCGCAAGCCUGAUGCAGCGAUGCCGCGUGAGGGAAGAAGGUUUUCGGAUUGUAAACCUCUGUCAUCAGGGACGAAAAAAGACGGUACCUGAGAAGGAAGCUCCGGCUAACUACGUGCCAGCAGCCGCGGUAAUACGGGGGAUGCGAGCGUUAUCCGGAUUCAUUGGGUUUAAAGGGUGCGUAGGCGGCCGAGUAAGUCAGCGGUGAAAGACCCGGGCUCAACCCGGAAAGUGCCGUUGAUACUGUGAGGCUGGAAUGCGGAUGCUGUGGGAGGAAUGAGUGGUGUAGCGGUGAAAUGCAUAGAUAUCACUCAGAACACCGAUUGCGAAGGCAUCUCACAAAUCCGCAAUUGACGCUGAGGCACGAAAGCG